ACUGAGUCGGACGAGCCCGGCUAGUGGCGGCAUCAGAGGCCGAGUGGGCCUCGGCCUCAGGGUCCUGCAGAGUCUAUCUACACUAUGAAAAGAUGGGAAAUUUCUUCCUGAAAGUGUCUGAAGGGCUAAAAAUGCUGAUAUAUUUGUGCUGUUAAACGUUUCAUUUUGCAUGUUAUUGUGAAAACAAAAGUAACGAAUUACUGGGUCGGUAGAGCUAUGCACUUCACCUGUUAGGAGUUAAAAUUAUUGCUGAUAAAUGGAUUAUAUCAAAGAAAGGCUAGGCAGAGUGAUUACAAAAGACAAAAACAUGGUAGAAACAUCACCCAGAUGUAUGCAGAUGACAAUUACAAAAAGAGUUUUAUGAAGAAUGAUCUUAUAUAUGUCAUGCUGCAGAUAAAUCAGAUGAGUAGGUUUGUUUCUUUUCUUUUCUUUUUUUUUUUUUUUUUUUUGCUUUUUAGGGCCACACCCACAGCACAUGUCAGUUCUCAGGCUAGGGGUUUAGAGCUGUAGCUGCUGGCCUACAUCACCUCUGGGACAUAAACUGCAGUUCACGGCAACACCCGAUAACUGACUUACUGAGCAAGGCCAGGGAUUGAACCCGCAUCCUCAUGGUUACUAGUCGGAUUUGUUUCUGCUGUGCCACGACAGGAACUCCAGGUCUGUUUUUUGUUUGUUUUUUGCUUUUUAGGGCCAUACCCGUGGCAUAUGGAGGUUCCCAGGCUAGGGGUCGAAUCAGAGCUACACCUGCCAGCCUACACCACAGCCAUUCCAGAUCCCAGCCAAGUCUGCAACAUACACCAUAGCUCAAGGCAACGCUGGAUCCUUAACCCACUUAGCGAGAAGUCCAGGGAUCAAACCCGCAACCUCAUGGUUCCUAGUCGGAUUUGUUUCCAGUGUGCCACGAUGGGAACUCCUGUUUCAUUUUUAAACAAAGGUAAUAUGUAUUAGUCUCACUUGUCCAUGAAUACAAUAAUGAGAAAGGCUCAUGAAAUUAUUUGUUAUCCAGAAAUAACCUUUGCAAGUAAUGUUGGUAAGUAUAGGAAAAGGAAAAAAUCUUUACCAUUUUCUUUCUCAUCUUCAGUAUAACUGUGGUAUUUUAAGCUUAAUAGAGAUAAACUGAACAGAUUUACAUUUAGACUUAGUUUCACAUUCUUACAGAUUAUUUUUAGGGCUUGGUGAAUCAGGAGUGUUUUUAUGUCUUAGACAAACUUUAUUUUGUAAGAUACUUCUUUAUAUAAGCAAUAACCUCAAUUUGAGUUACUGUGGAAGACAAAUUUGUGAAGGAAAUGGAACCCAGCAGAUUUCUCAGAAAUAGUAUAUGUGAGAAACGCGACUUGUAUAAUGCAGUGAUUUCUUUAAUUCGUCAUAUGUUUGGGUAAUUAGAAAUUUUUCCAGCCUUAUAGUCAUUGAACAUCUAACCAUAAAGAAAUGAGACAAAUCUAGUUAAUAGCCCUAAAAACAACCCCAUGACUCUUAGGAAAAAAGAAUCCUGGCACUCCAUAGCAAUUUUAUUUACAACACUAGUAUUCGAGAAGUUGGUGAUGCCAGCUUCUGAAAGAAUAACCUCAGUGUCCUGGAGAAAACUUGGAUUAGGAAAAGUGAAAUUAGAAAUGCCUUCAGUAGAUAAAGAAACCUACCUUCUUUCUACCUCUCAAAAUUUGAUUUGUAUUAUAAAUAGCUUGUUAAAAGAGUAUUGAGUUACUUCUGUUACAGCAAGGGUUUUUGCAACGGGGCUAAGUGUCUGGAUUGCCUAUAGAACUCUAGAAGUGUUUAGCUUAUUGCCCACGCAUCCUAGCUGAAUUAUUCUCCAGGGUUGUAACCAGCUGUUGUGUAUUUUUAAAAUACUGUAGGUGAGUGUACAGAGGUAGAGUAGAGCAGCCCUCCACAUCCCGUAUUUUUUGUGGUGUGUCACACAAUAACAAAAGUUUUAGCAAAUAUUUUAUUACUAAUUGUACUCAUAAAUGUACUUUGAAGAUGUAUAGAUGACCUAAGGAUCAAUUUAUACAUGGUAGUUCCUGGAGAAGAUGGUAGCUUCCUGGAGAUUUCUUAGAGUGAAGGUUUAGUCUAAUACUAAGAAAGUCUGAUCAUAAGAGACACUUGGUCAGUAAGAGUGCAAAGCUGUGACAGUUAUGGUAAAGUAACAGAUAUUUAAAAGAAACAAGUAUCUGGACAUGAGAAUUUUCUGAAAAUAAUUUUGCUUUAGUAACUCCUUGCCCUAAACCCUGAUUUUUAAAAACUUAUUGAUGUUAUUGUAGUAUUUGUGGUGUUUGGGUGCAUGAUAUAUAAUAAUAUGAGUGUCCUUUUUUUAGCUCCAGAUAUUUUGACUCAGUUACUAAAUUUGUGAUCUUUAUAUUCAAAAUUCUUAGCAGUCUUUCAUCCAUAACUGCUGAAGAAUAAAAACAUGAGAAAGAGAGCAACUAUAUAAAAAUUUUAAAGCAGCCCCAAGAAUCCAACCCUUAAUGAAUCCUCCUCCUUUAGAGGAGGAAGGUCCUCUUGGAAAUGGUUAUGUAAAGCUGACUUUAGUGUCUUAAACCAUAUUAGUGGCCUCUGGAUUCCUGCUGUUUCAGUUUCAAAUCUAUAUUAAAUGGCUUGCUAGUUUUUUACAGAAAUUAGUAACAUUUUAAGCUUCAGUGGUAGUAGCAGCCUCUUGGUGAGGAUUAAACAGAGUUAUGCGAAGCAUCUAGUAGAGGACCUUGGACCUUGGAACUUGUAAGUUUGUUGUGGAUUUUUUUAAGUUUUUAAAAAGUUGUCUCGAGUACUUAGGACAUAAAGACAGGGAUUACCUCAGAUGAACUCUUAGUGAGUUAUUGGUAAGUCAUACUUCAAUGACCGAAUUCUUAGUAGAAUACAUUUCCAGUUUUUUCCUCUGAUAAAGUGAUACAGGGCAGCAGGGGUUUUUUUUAACCCAUACCACAUAAGGAAUGUAAAAUUCCUGUUACUGAGAUCAUCUUAGGGCCUGGGGUGGCUGAAGUGGAAAAAAUUACAUAACAAUAAAAUUUUGCUUGUGUACCUGUGUAGUUCAAAAAAGGCCCACAAUUGAUUAUGAAAAUUAGACCCUGUCUCCCUUCAUUAAGAAUCACUAUAAAUUCUCCAAAAGAUGAUAUUUAGAGUUCCCGUUAUGGCUUAGCAAGUUAAGGACCCGUUGUCUCUGUGAGGUUGUCGGUUGCUUCAUAACCUCAUUCACUUGGGUAAGGAUCUAGCAUUGCCACAAGCUACAACUUAGAUCACAGAUUCAGCUAUGUCACAAGCCCCAGCUGCAGCUCUGAUUUGACCCCUAGCCUAGGAACUUCCAUAUGCCACAGGUGUGGCGGUAAAAAGAAUAAAUAAAUAAGAUGAUAUUCUAAAUCAUAAAAAAAAUGUUAGAAUUGUUUCAUGCCUCAAAAAGUUCUAAAAUAAUGCUUUUAUAUUUCAGGCUAUUCAAUGCAAGAGAACUAUUAGUUAUCUGCCUUUCUGUAUCUCUUCCCAGAUCAAAUCAAUUUUCUUAACAUUCUCAGAAAUGAAAGGUGAUGUAAACCCAGCAGUUAAAGUAAAAAUUAUUUUAACCUGAUCACAGAAUUGAGUUAAGAUAACCAAACUUAAGGGAGAAAAUGAAGAACAUUUUAACAAAAGUUCUCAUUAUAUCGUAACCUUAUGGGAGUUCCUGUUGUGGCUCAGCGGAAACAAAUCUGACUAGCAUCCAUGAGGACGCAGGUUUGAUCCCUGGCCUCACUUAGUGGGUUAAGGAUCCAGUGUUGCGGUGAGUUGCAGUGAGCUGUGGUGUAGGUUGCAAACAUGGCUUAGAUCUGGCGUGGCUGUGGCUGUGGCGUAGGCCAGCAGCUACAGCUCCAAUUAAACCCCUGAGCUGGGAACCUCCAUAUGCCUUGGUUGUGGCCCUAAAAAGACAAAAAAACCAACAUGUAUAUGUAUUAUAACCUUAUAUUGAGUUAAGUUCUGCUAUGGUGUAUAUUUCUGGAGGGUUUUUUGUUUUGUUUUGGCCCUUGCCUGGGACAUGUGGAAGUUCCUGGGCUAGGGAUCUCAGCAGUGACAUCCUGGAGUCCUUACCCUGCUGUGCCACAGGGAAACUCCUAUAGUAUGUAUUUCUAAAGUGGACACAGAUGAGCAUGCCAAACAAUCAGCAGUUGGAGUUUCUCCAGAGAAUACCUUUAACUCAUUCUGAAAACUAUAAUAUUUCAUAUUUUGAACAGUUUACUUUGUGUUAACGAUAUUCAGAAAACUAAUACUUGUUUUCUAAUCUUGUUUUAGUUGACCCACUGUUGUGUUUGUAAGAAGUUGACAUAAUUUUAGCUCCUGGAUUUAGUUGCUGCAAAAGGUAAAUGCAGUAAAUAUCCCAAGGUCAAGAUGUAAAAUCGAAAUGUCAGUAGCUAAUGAUUAAUCAGAAAAGUGAGCCCUCCUACAGUUUUUCUCAGUUUUUAAUGGGUUUGGAUAAAGCGGCACUGGAAAUCAUUUCAAGAACAAGUAUAUAAAUUUAGUCCAAUAUAAAUAUGUUCGUGAAUAUAGCCACUCAUGGAAACUACAGAGAUACACAAUUGUAAGCAGUUAUGUAAGUAGGUACUAUUCGUAAUUAAUAUGAUAUGGACUCUGAUGAUGCCCUAUGUUUUUGAACUUGCUGUAAAGGUGAAUCCUCAGUUCUGUCUUAAACACUUUAGGAAAUGCUCAUCAGUCACCCUCCUCACCCUUAACUCACGAUUUGAUGAAUUUGGCACAUAAGUGGUUACAAAUGGAAUAGCCUAGGGACUUGUUUUGAGCAACUCCACCACCAGAAGGUAAAACUCAGGAACCAUAAUCCUUGACAUAACCUAACCUAUUUUUUUCUUCACUUUGAGCCAAAGAAAAACUCAGCUUUACUCCUUCUUUACCCUGCAUUACCAGACUUAACCAUUAAUGUUGUAUUACAUUGGAUCUUUCAUAGUUUCUUAGCAAUUGUCCCCAAAGUUUAUUUUUUUGGCUUUGCCCACAGCAUACAGAAGUUCAUGGGCCAGGGACUGAACCCACGCCACAGCUGCAGCCAGUGCCACAUCAGUGACAACACAGGAUCUUUUCCCAGCUAGGCCACCAGGGAACUGCAAUAAAAACUUAUUUUAAGUUUUAAACAUGCUAAAAUAAAGCAGUUGCUUAAAGGGUAACAUACAAAAGUAUAUCUUAGCUAUGGGCAUGGCCCCAAAAAAAAGGUUUGGCUCUGAAAGAGGUGAGAAAUAAUAGUUUACAGAGGGCAUGUGGCAUCGAAAAAAUUUUAUAUUUAAAUCUUCUCCUUCCAGAUCAAAGUCAGGUUCUACUUCAGGACAUUCUUAUCAUUUCCCAGAGGAAUUAGGACUUAAAAUUUUACUUUGGCUUGAAGUCAAGUCAGGGGAAGAUAUGGAAGAUUUCUGAAGUACUUUUGUGGUUUUUUUCUCCAUGACACUCAGUGCUUUUCAUUUGAUUUAUUUUUUCCUUCCCAGUUUUCAAUUCUUUGUAAAUCUUUCAUUUAACCAAAUUUGUACUCUUAAGAAUAGUGGUUUUUGGAGUUCCUGUCGUGGCGCAGUGGUUAACGAAUCCGACUAGGAACCAUGAGGUUGCGGGUUCGGUCCCUGCCCUUGCUCAGUGGGUUAACGAUCCGGCGUUGCCGUGAGCUGUGGUGUAGGUUGCAGACGCGGCUCGGAUCCCGCGUUGCUGUGGCUCUGGUGUAGGCCAGGAGCUACAGCUCCGAUUCAACCCCUAGCCUUGGAACCUCCAUAUGCCGAGGGAGCGGCCCAAGAAAUAGCAACAACAACAACAACAACAAAGACAAAAGACAAAAAAAAAAAAAAA
rnacentral:lncRNA from 1 species